rfam:Bombyx mori DNA, contig: Bm_scaf43_contig24110, strain: p50T/Dazao, build 2, whole genome shotgun sequence.
UUAACUCAAAUUUGUAUGGAGUUUGAACGUUUGCUUACGUUUGCCUCUAGGGACGCUGUUCCAACUACAUACAAAUGUGAGUUA